rnacentral:misc_RNA from 1 species
AACCUAGCACACCUGCGGUGUGUACCUGCGGAGGGAUCAUUACACAAUACAAUAUGAAGGCUGUCCGCAGCUGGAGUAUUUUAUUACCCUUGUCUUUUGCGCACUUGUUGUUUCCUGGGCGGGUUCGCUCGCCACCAGGACCACCAAACAAACCUUUUUUAUGCAGUUGCAAUCAGCGUCAGUACAAACAAUGUAAAUCAUUUACAACUUUUAACAAUGGAUCUCAGAUCGGAAGAGCAC